AAAAAUGCUUUGUGGAAGAGACCUGGAGCUUUGCCCUUUCUCUGGCUCAAAUUACCCGCCUGUCAGGCCUGACAGAUUUGGCUAAAAAUAAAAGGAAGCGGGCCAUGAAAAGCAGAUGAAUGAGCUCAGCAGUUCCUUAGAUAACACGGGGGCCAGCCUCGCCCAGAGCUUCCAAAACAGGAACGUCAAAUGGUGGGCCUGACAGAUCCCAGGAUAGAGCUUCCAGAGGCCCUUCCCUUCCAGUGUCUUAGAAGUGAUGACCUGGUUAGUCUCUUGGUCACCAAGCUGAGAUGUUUAUCUGGAGCACAGCACGAGAGAACUGAAAAAAGGCUAUGAGGCUGUGUUCUAGAAGAGUUUAUCCCUGAUGUUUUGCCACGAAAAAACUAUUUUCAUUUAUGUCACAUGGCCAUCUGAGUGCUGUUAUUUUCCAAAUCAGGAGCAUCCAGAACACAUUUGAUAAAGAUGCAAAGGUUUUGUUUUGAGACCCUAAGAGUACUGCACCACCUCUGUGGGAAGGAGAGCUGUCCAAUGAGACAACAUAUUUUCAGCAAAUUCAUCAGAGUGAAAUGUUAAGACAAUCCAUCAAACUGUAGUGUUUUCUCCUACCCACAUUCUAUCAUUCUAUCAAUCAGUGGAUGUGAAAGGUGGGUCAAAACAAUAUUAUAAGAUGUUGUUGUGUUGUUGUAUGUAUGUAUUGAAGUCAUUUCUGACUUAUGUUGACCC